GACGAACGCUGGCGGCGUGCUUAACACAUGCAAGUCGAACGGUGAAGCGCCUUCCUUUUUGGUGGGUGUGGAUGAGUGGCGAACUGGUGAGUAACACGUGAGUAACCUGCCCCCUUCUUCUGGAUAACCGCAUGAAAGUGUGGCUAAUACGGGAUAUUCUGGGUCUGUCGCAUGAUGGGUCUGGGAAAGAUAUUGUUUCGGUGGGGGAUGGGCUCGCGGCCUAUCAGCUUGUUGGUGGGGUGGUGGCCUACCAAGGCGGUGACGGGUAGCCGGCCUGAGAGGGUGGACGGUCACACUGGGACUGAGACACGGCCCAGACUCCUACGGGAGGCAGCAGUGGGGAAUAUUGCACAAUGGGCGGAAGCCUGAUGCAGCGACGCCGCGUGAGGGAUGGAGGCCGUCGGGUUGUGAACCUCUUUCGCCAGUGAAGCAGGCCUGCCUCGUUUGUGGGUGGGUUGACGGUAGCUGGAUAAGAAGCGCCGGCUAACUACGUG
rnacentral:rRNA from 1 species